rnacentral:rRNA from 1 species
AUGAUGCAGCGACCUCUUCUGGACAUGUCCCCGAUGCGCCCCCCAGGCUUUGAAGCCUCGCCCACUCCGCCUCUCCAGUGCAACGGCAACCUGCAGCGAACCCCUUCGCCAACCCGUGCUUGCCUUGUUGAUGCUGGACAUGACCUGCCCGCUGGCUUGGCGGAGCUCGUUGUGCCCUGUCUAGAGCUUCCAGCAACGCUCUUCUGCUCAAAACAGCCGGCGCUCCUGCCGCUCACAUCUGUGCAACCUUCUGAAGCACCCAUGGCAUCACCGAGGCCAAGCCCUCCAGCAUCCCGUCGGAAGACCUUGGCAGGCAUGAGGAUCUCCAAGGAAGGCGAGAUCUCUCUGCAACAGAUCAGGCGCCCUUCCAACCGCACGCCGGCUGCCCCGGUUGCAAAGGUGGCUGAGCGCCUUGUUUUCGCAGCCUGGGCAUAA